CAAGGCAGUUAAAAUGCUUUGUAAUUGGAAUGAUAGAAAUUUAAAUACUUUUUAAAGUAUCAAUUGGAGGGCAAGUCUGGUGCCAGCAGCCGCGGUAAUUCCAGCUCCAAUAGCGUAUAUUAAAAUUGUUGCAGUUAAAAAGCUCGUAGUUGAAUUUCUGCUAAAAAUAACAGGUCUGCUUUUAAUAAAGGUGGUAUCUUGGUGUGUUUUUAGCAAUAAUGUCCCUUGAAAUGUUUUUUACUUCAUUGUAAUAAAUUAUAUUCAGGAUUUUUACUUUGAGAAAAUUAGAGUGUUUCUAGCAGGCUAAUGCUUUGAAUACUGCAGCAUGGAAUAAUAAAAUAUGAUUUUGGUUCUACAUUAUUGGUUUUAAGAGCUAAAUUAAUGAUUGAUAGGGACAGUUGGGGGCAUUUGUAUUUAACUGUCAGAGGUGAAAUUCUUAGAUUUGUUAAAGACAAACUACUGCGAAAGCAUUUGCCAAAGAUGUUUUCAUUAAUCAAGAAC
rnacentral:rRNA from 1 species